rnacentral:rRNA from 1 species
CCUACGGGAGGCAGCAGUAGGGAAUAUUGCUCAAUGGGGGAAACCCUGAAGCAGCAACGCCGCGUGGAGGAUGAAGGUUUUCGGAUUGUAAACUCCUUUUGUUAGAGAAGAUAAUGACGGUAUCUAACGAAUAAGCACCGGCUAACUCCGUGCCAGCAGCCGCGGUAAUACGGAGGGUGCAAGCGUUACUCGGAAUCACUGGGCGUAAAGAGGGCGUAGGCGGGAUAGAAAGUCAGAUGUGAAAUCCUAUGGCUUAACCAUAGAACUGCAUUUGAAACUGUUCUUCUAGAGAUUGGGAGAGGUAGGUGGAAUGCUUGGUGUAGGGGUAAAAUCCGUAGAGAUCAAGAGGAAUACUCAUUGCGAAGGCGACCUGCUAGAACAUAACUGACGCUGAUGCGCGAAAGCGUGGGGAGCAAACAGGAUUAGAUACCCGGGUAGUC